rnacentral:tRNA from 1 species
GCAGUGGUAGUUCAGUGGUAGAAUCCUUCCCUUCCACUCAGGAGGCCCAGGUUCGAUUCCUGACCAAUGCA